rnacentral:rRNA from 1 species
AGAGUUUGAUCCUGGCUCAGGAUGAACGCUAGCGACAGGCCUAACACAUGCAAGUCGAGGGGCAGCGGAGAGGUAGCAAUACCUUUGCCGGCGACCGGCGCACGGGUGAGUAACACGUAUGCAAUCCACCUGUAACAGGGGGAUAACCCGGAGAAAUCCGGACUAAUACCCCAUAAUAUGGGCGCUCCGCAUGGAGAGCCCAUUAAAGAGAGCAAUUUUGGUUACAGACGAGCAUGCGCUCCAUUAGCCAGUUGGCGGGGUAACGGCCCACCAAAGCGACGAUGGAUAGGGGUUCUGAGAGGAAGGUCCCCCACAUUGGAACUGAGACACGGUCCAAACUCCUACGGGAGGCAGCAGUGAGGAAUAUUGGUCAAUGGUCGGCAGACUGAACCAGCCAAGUCGCGUGAGGGAAGACGGCCCUACGGGUUGUAAACCUCUUUUGUCGGAGAGUAAAGUACGCUACGUGUAGCGUAUUGCAAGUAUCCGAAGAAAAAGCAUCGGCUAACUCCGUGCCAGCAGCCGCGGUAAUACGGAGGAUGCAAGCGUUAUCCGGAUUUAUUGGGUUUAAAGGGUGCGUAGGCGGCACGCCAAGUCAGCGGUGAAAUUUCCGGGCUCAACCCGGACUGUGCCGUUGAAACUGGCGAGCUAGAGUGCACAAGAGGCAGGCGGAAUGCGUGGUGUAGCGGUGAAAUGCAUAGAUAUCACGCAGAACCCCGAUUGCGAAGGCAGCCUGCUAGGGUGCGACAGACGCUGAGGCACGAAAGCGUGGGUAUCGAACAGGAUUAGAUACCCUGGUAGUCCACGCAGUAAACGAUGAAUACUAACUGUUUGCGAUACAAUGUAAGCGGUACAGCGAAAGCGUUAAGUAUUCCACCUGGGGAGUACGCCGGCAACGGUGAAACUCAAAGGAAUUGACGGGGGCCC